AUUGAACGCUGGCGGCAUGCCUUACACAUGCAAGUCGAACGGUAACAGGUUAAGCUGACGAGUGGCGAACGGGUGGGUAAUGUAUCGGAACGUGCCCAGUCGUGGGGGAUAACUGCUCGAAAGAGCAGCUAAUACCGCAUACGACCUGAGGGUGAAAGCGGGGGAUCGCAAGACCUCGCGCGAUUGGAGCGGCCGAUAUCAGAUUAGGUAGUUGGUGAGGUAAAGGCUCACCAAGCCGACGAUCUGUAGCUGGUCUGAGAGGACGACCAGCCACACUGGGACUGAGACACGGCCCAGACUCCUACGGGAGGCAGCAGUGGGGAAUUUUGGACAAUGGGCGCAAGCCUGAUCCAGCCAUGCCGCGUGCGGGAAGAAGGCCUUCGGGUUGUAAACCGCUUUUGUCAGGGAAGAAAAGGUUCUGGCUAAUACCUGGGACUCAUGACGGUACCUGAAGAAUAAGCACCGGCUAACUACGUG
rnacentral:rRNA from 1 species